rnacentral:rRNA from 1 species
UCACAGUUUAAUCUAUGUUAUAAAAUGCAUAAAAAGUUGUCUGGUACAUUAACCGGUUACUCACUGAAGCUAAGCAUGGCUGAGCCUGGUCAGUACCUGGAUGGGAGACUACAUGGGAAAACUAGGUUGCUGUUGGAA